rnacentral:rRNA from 1 species
CAANCCUUUNGGGUAUGCUACCCGNACGAGUUCAUACUCGUGGCGAAUAGCUCAGUAACACGUGGCCAAACUACCCUUCGGACCACAAUACCCUCGGGAAACUGAGGCUAAUAGUGUCUACCACAGUCCACCUGGAAUGAGGACUGUGCCAAACGCUCCGGCGCCGAAGGAUGUGGCUGCGGCCGAUUAGGUAGACGGUGGGGUAACGGCCCACCGUGCCAAUAAUCGGUACGGGUCAUGAGAGUGAGAACCCGGAGACGGAAUCUGAGACAAGAUUCCGGGCCCUACGGGGCGCAGCAGGCGCGAAACCUUUACACUGCACGACAGUGCGAUAAGGGAAAUCCCAAGUGCACAGGCAUAGAGCCUGUGCUUUUUGUACACCCUAGGGCGGUGUACGAAUAAGGGCUGGGCAAGACCGGUGCCAGCCGCCGCGGUAAUACCGGCAGCCCAAGUGAUGGCCGAUCUUAUUGGGCCUAAAGCGUCCGUAGCUGGCCGNACAAGUCCAUCGGGAAAUCCACCUGCUCAACAGGUGGACGCCCGGUGGAAACUGNGNGGCUUGGGACCGGAAGGCGCAAAAGGGAACCNUCCCGGGUAGGAGUGAAAUCCCGUAAANCCUGGACGGGACCGACNNAUGGCGAAAGCACGUUCCNACGAAAACGGAUNCCAACAAGUGANGGGACGAAAAGANCAAGGGUCUCAUAAACCGAAUUANAANAACCCGGUAAGAUCAUGGGCCAUAAACAAUGUCUG